rnacentral:sRNA from 1 species
AUCUUGAUGGUAGUGGGUUAUCAGAACUUAUUAACAUUAGUGUCACUAAAGUUGGUAUUCAACCCCCCACUGCUAAAUUUUACUGGCUUAGA